UACGUAGGCAGCGAGCGUUGUUCGGAGUUACUGGGCGUAAAGGGUGUGUAGGCGGUUGUUUAAGUUUGGUGUGAAAUCUUCCGGCUCAACUGGGAGGGUGCGCCGAAUACUGAAUGACUUGGAGUGCGGGAGAGGAGAGUGGAAUUCCUGGUGUAGCGGUGAAAUGCGUAGAUAUCAGGAGGAACACCGGUGGUGUAGACGGCUCUCUGGACCGUAACUGACGCUGAGACACGAAAGCGUGGGUAGCAAACAGG
rnacentral:rRNA from 1 species